CUACGUAGGUGACAAGCGUUAUCCGGAUUUACUGGGCGUAAAGGGCGUGUAGGCGGUCUUGCAAGUCAGAAGUGAAAUUCCUGAGCUCAACUCGGGCGCUGCUUCUGAAACUGCAGGACUUGAGUGCUGGAGGGGAUAGCGGAAUUCCUAGUGGAGCGGUAAAAUGCGCAGAUAUUAGGAAGAACACCGGUGGCGAAGGCGGCUAUCUGGACAGUAACUGACGCUGAGGCGCGAAAGCGUGGGGAGCAAACAGGAUUAGAUACCCGGGUAGUCCACGCCGUAAACGAUGAAUACUAGGUGUAGGGGGUAUCGACUCCCUCUGUGCCGCAGAUAACACAAUAAGUAUUCCGCCUGGGGAGUACGGCCGCAAGGUUGAAACUCAAAUGAAUUGACGGGG
rnacentral:rRNA from 1 species